rnacentral:lncRNA from 1 species
UUAACCGUUAAUUUAGUGCAUAAAUUUUGUCAAUAGAUUCCAUUAAUAAUUUAUAAUUUUUAUUAUUGAAAAACCUUUUCAUCGAUAAAUUAUUAAUAAAAUAAACGAUAAAUUUUUCUCUAAGUUGAAUAAGAUUUGUUCAUAUAUUAAAAGAAAAUAGUUGACAUGAAGAGAAUGAAUAAAAGAGAAAGAGAAAGAAGAAGAAAAAAAAGGAAUUAGAAAGAAUAAGGCGAAAAGAAAUAUGAAGAGGAGGAAGAGAGGGAUGGGGAGCAAAAGCUUGAGCUAGUAGUGGUAACGAAAAGGAGACAAUGGUGAUGGAGCCAUGAUGGUCAAUGUUGGAGGAGGAAUAAGAGGAAAAGAAAAAUUAGGAGAAAAAGGAAAAGAAUAAGGCAACAACAAUAACAUCGACGACAAAAAUAGUAGUAAUGGUGACAUAGUCAAGCGGGAGGAGGAGAGGACAAGAGAAAGAAAGAGAAAAGAAAAGAAAGAGGAAGAAUAAUACCAAAUCAUAAUAUUUAUAGAAAGAUUACAAUAAUGACUAAAUUUAUAGUAAUUAAUGAUGAUUUUUUACCAACGAAUUUUAGGUUAUGAGUAAUUAUAAUCAGAUUUAACAAUUCGUGGAUAAAAUUUAUUGACGAUCAUUUUAUUAAUGAAAAUUUUU